GAAAAAGGAACAACAGAAAAGCUACCCUAGCAAGCUGCAUGCGCCAUGCCCGCCGGCAUUCCAUGACGCAAGUACCUGGCUGGCCGGCCUCAACAUCCUCCCAGUGCCGAUCAGAAUUACACCGCUAAAGAGUAGUGGCGCCAGUAGCCUUCCGGCUGGCCGGCCGGCCUGCCGUCUGGUCAAUCAUGGCAGCUUUGACCUGAGGAGGCAGGUACUUAUAUGACCCAUUAUCUCAAACUAUACAAGCCUAAAUGGAAGUUCUCCUUGGAUGCACGUCGUUUGUUUCGUUUUUUAAGUUCUUUUCUGCCGUCUUCCGUUAAUAGUAGGACACAUGGAAGCUGAUGUGCGUUUAGACGCCAAUACAAAUUCCCCUUUCAGCCAUAAAGCAACAGAGAUAACGACGCAUGUUAUCGCUAUGCUAAUUGGGGAAGCAGAGUACAUCGGAUGAGCCAGCAUACCCCCAGAUAUAUGUCUUUCCACGUCCCAACAAAAUUGAUGCCAGCUUCCUCCUACAGCUAAAUUGUUUUUAAACUUUGCUUAUCGGACAAUGAGUGUAAGAUGCGAC
rnacentral:lncRNA from 1 species